AACGUAGGUGGCAAGCGUUGUCCGGAAUCAUUGGGCGUAAAGAGCGUGUAGGCGGCUUGUUAAGUCUUGCGUGAAAUCUCGGGGCUCAACCCCGAGCGGUCGUGAGAAACUGGCAGGCUAGAGUGCGGGAGAGGAGAGUGGAAUUCCUGGUGUAGCGGUGAAAUGCGCAGAUAUCAGGAAGAACACCCGUGGCGAAGGCGGCUCUCUGGAACGCAACUGACGCUGAGACGCGAAAGCGUGGGGAGCAAACAGG
rnacentral:rRNA from 1 species